AUGAACGCUGGCGGCGUGCCUAAUACAUGCAAGUCGAGCGAACAGAUGAGGAGCUUGCUCCUCUGACGUUCGCGGCGGACGGGUGAGUAACACGUGGAUAACCUACCUAUAAGACUGGGAUAACUUCGGGAAACCGGAGCUAAUACCGGAAAAUAUAUUGAACCGCAUGGUUCAAUAGUGAAAGACGGUUUUGCUGUCACUUAUAGAAGGAUCCGCGCCGCAUUAGCUAGUUGGUAAGGUAACGGCUUACCAAGGCAACGAUGCCUAGCCGACCUGAGAGGGUGAUCGGCCACACUGGAACUGAGACACGGUCCAGACUCCUACGGGAGGCAGCAGUAGGGAAUCUUCCGCAAUGGGCGAAAGCCUGACGGAGCAACGCCGCGUGAGUGAUGAAGGUCUUCGGAUCGUAAAACUCUGUUAUUAGGGAAGAACAAAUGUGUAAGUAACUAUGCACGUCUUGACGGUACCUAAUCAGAAAGCCACGGCUAACUACUUG
rnacentral:rRNA from 1 species